UGGGGAAUAUUGGGCAAUGGGCGAAAGCCUGACCCAGCCAUGCCGCGUGAGUGAUGAAGGCCUUAGGGUUGUAAAGCUCUUUCAUUGAUGAAGAUAAUGACGGUAACCAAAGAAGAAGCCCCGGCUAACUUCGUGCCAGCAGCCGCGGUAAUACGAAGGGGGCUAGCGUUGUUCGGAAUUACUGGGCGUAAAGCGCGUGUAGGCGGAUAUACAAGCAAGGGGUGAAAGCCCAGGGCUCAACCCUGGAACUGCCUUUUGAACUGUAUAUCUGGAGUAUUGGAGGGGAGUGCGGAAUUCCUAAUGUAGAGGUGAAAUUCGUAGAUAUUAGGAGGAACACCGGUGGCGAAGGCGGCACUCUGGACAAUUACUGACGCUGAGACGCGAAAGCGUGGGGAGCAAA
rnacentral:rRNA from 1 species